rnacentral:rRNA from 1 species
GUGCCUAAUACAUGCAAGUCGAGCGAGCUUGCCUAGAUGAUUUUAGUGCUUGCACUAAAUGAAACUAGAUACAAGCGAGCGGCGGACGGGUGAGUAACACUGUGGGUAACCUGCCCAAGAGACUGGGAUAACACCUGGAAACAGAUGCUAAUACCGGAUAACAACACUAGACGCAUGUCUAGAGUUUGAAAGAUGGUUCUGCUAUCACUCUUGGAUGGACCUGCGGUGCAUUAGCUAGUUGGUAAGGUAACGGCUUACCAAGGCAAUGAUGCAUAGCCGAGUUGAGAGACUGAUCGGCCACAUUGGGACUGAGACACGGCCCAAACUCCUACGGGAGGCAGCAGUAGGGAAUCUUCCACAAUGGACGAAAGUCUGAUGGAGCAACGCCGCGUGAGUGAAGAAGGGUUUCGGCUCGUAAAGCUCUGUUGGUAGUGAAGAAAGAUAGAGGUAGUAACUGGCCUUUAUUUGACGGUAAUUACUUAGAAAGUCACGGCUAACUACGUGCCAGCAGCCGCGGUAAUACGUAGGUGGCAAGCGUUGUCCGGAUUUAUUGGGCGUAAAGCGAGUGCAGGCGGUUCAAUAAGUCUGAUGUGAAAGCCUUCGGCUCAACCGGAGAAUUGCAUCAGAAACUGUUGAACUUGAGUGCAGAAGAGGAGAGUGGAACUCCAUGUGUAGCGGUGGAAUGCGUAGAUAUAUGGAAGAACACCAGUGGCGAAGGCGGCUCUCUGGUCUGCAACUGACGCUGAGGCUCGAAAGCAUGGGUAGCGAACAGGAUUAGAUACCCUGGUAGUCCAUGCCGUAAACGAUGAGUGCUAAGUGUUGGGAGGUUUCCGCCUCUCAGUGCUGCAGCUAACGCAUUAAGCACUCCGCCUGGGGAGUACGACCGCAAGGUUGAAACUCAAAGGAAUUGACGGGGGCCCGCACAAGCGGUGGAGCAUGUGGUUUAAUUCGAAGCAACGCGAAGAACCUUACCAGGUCUUGACAUCCAGUGCAAACCUAAGAGAUUAGGUGUUCCCUCGGGGACGCUGAGACAGGUGGUGCAKGCUGU